GGGAACGCGACGGACAUUGCUCUACUCCACUUGGCAUCCUCUUAGACCCCCUCGUGAGCCUUGGCCGACGCCUGGCAAUGCUGGUUGGCUGCACUCGUAUCUGACGAGCCCGGCGACGUCUUGCUGCAGCGGUAGCCUUGAGUGCCAGCAUCAGCGCAGUUCCAUCCGUGCUGUUUUGCACACGAGCCAGCUCCUCUCCAAGGCCCUUCAGGAUCUCGAGGCUGACCACCAAUAAAGUGUGAAUCUGGGUCCUUAAGGAGCUUGAACACCAUCAGGUGCCAAUGCUCUGCUCAUUGUGGACAAGUACUGCGACAAGGACAGCACCUGCCUUCGUGCAAUAUUUCUGGAUGCUUCUUCAUUGUGACUAAUGUGAAACUAUUGUGCAAU
rnacentral:lncRNA from 1 species